UCAUAUUACCAGCUAACAGUGACAGUUCAAUUUCCUCUUUACCCAUUUGGAUACCAUUUUUUUUUUCUCUUGUCUGUCUGCUCUGGUUAGGACUUCCAGUACUAUGUUGAAGAGGAGUGGUGAGAGUGGGCAUGGUUAUCUUGGUCCAGUUCUCAGAGGGAAUGCUUUCAACUUUUCCCCAUUGAGUAUAAUGUUGGCUGUGGAUUUGUCACAGAUGGCUUUUAUUACAUUGAGAAGACACCGUUAAGAAAACAAAGAAGUGGAUGUUCCAAGAUGGCCAAAUAGGAACAGCUCUGGUGUGCAGUUCCCAGCGAGAAUACAGAGGUGUUCUUGGAGAUAUUUCUGUGUCAAUGCAUAGGAUUCUACCACCUUUGCAUACAAUUGACACUUGAACAACACUGGUUUAAAAUGCAAGAUUCCAGUUAUAUGUGGACUUUCACCUCUGCCACCCCAGACAUCAAGUCAACCCCUCCUUUUCUUCCCCCUUUUCAGCCUACUCAAUGUGAAGAUGAUGAAAAUGAAAACUUUCAUGAUGAUCCACUUCCACUUAAUAAAUAGUAAAUAUGGUUCUCUUUCUGUGACUUUCUUGGUAAUUUUAAAAAUUUUCCAUUUUUCUGGGUUCAUAGGUGUAUAUAUUUAUGGGGUACAUGAGAUUAUUUGAUACAGGCUUGCAGUCUGAAAUAAUCACAUUGUAGAAGAUGGGGUAUCCCUCCCUUUAAGCAUUUAUCCUUUGUGUUACAGACAAUCCAAUUAUACUCUUUCAGUUAUUUCAAAAUAUUCAAUUAAAUUAUUGACUAUAGUCACCCUGUUGUGCUAUCAAAUAUUAGCCCUUAUUCAUUCAUUCUAAUUAUAUUUUGUACCCAUUAACUAUUCCCACCUCCACUUGACUCCCCUACUCUCCUUCCCUUCUUCUGGUAACCAUCCUUUUACUCUCU